rnacentral:rRNA from 1 species
CAUGCUAGACGUAGUUUGAUCCGUGGCUCAGAGCGAACGCUGGCGGCGCGCCUAACACAUGCAAGUCGAACGAGAAUCCGGGGCAACCCGGUAGUAAAGUGGCAAACGGGUGAGGAAUACAUGGGUAACCUACCCUUGAGAAGGGAAUAACCCGCCGAAAGGUGAGCUAAUACCCUAUACGCUAUCUUUUUUUCGAAAAGGAUAGGAAAGCCGGGUCGAGGACCUGGUACUCAAGGAGGGGCUCAUGUCCUAUCAGCUUGUUGGUGGGGUAACGGCCUACCAAGGCUACGACGGGUAGCUGGUCUGAGAGGAUGAUCAGCCACACUGGGACUGAGACACGGCCCAGACUCCUACGGGAGGCAGCAGUGGGGAAUAUUGGACAAUGGGGGAAACCCUGAUCCAGCUACGCCGCGUGGGUGAUGAAGGCCUUCGGGUUGUAAAGCCCUGUCGAGGGGGACGAAGUUCUGACGGUACCCCUCAAGAAAGCACCGGCUAACUCCGUG